AUACAUGCAAGUCGAGCGAACCGAUUAAGAGCUUGCUCUUAAGAAGUUAGCGGCGGACGGGUGAGUAACACGUAGGUAACCUGCCUGUAAGACUGGGAUAACUCCGGGAAACCGGGGCUAAUACCGGAUAACAUUUUGCACCGCAUGGUGCGAAAUUGAAAGGCGGCUUCGGCUGUCACUUACAGAUGGACCUGCGGCGCAUUAGCUAGUUGGUGAGGUAACGGCUCACCAAGGCGACGAUGCGUAGCCGACCUGAGAGGGUGAUCGGCCACACUGGGACUGAGACACGGCCCAGACUCCUACGGGAGGCAGCAGUAGGGAAUCUUCCGCAAUGGACGAAAGUCUGACGGAGCAACGCCGCGUGAGCGAUGAAGGCCUUCGGGUCGUAAAGCUCUGUUGUUAGGGAAGAACAAGUGCUAGUUGAAUAAGCUGGCACCUUGACGGUACCUAACCAGAAAGCCACGGC
rnacentral:rRNA from 1 species